rnacentral:rRNA from 1 species
AUUGAACGCUGGCGGCAGGCCUAACACAUGCAAGUCGAGCGGAUGAAGGGAGCUUGCUCCUGGAUUCAGCGGCGGACGGGUGAGUAAUGCCUAGGAAUCUGCCUGGUAGUGGGGGAUAACGUCCGGAAACGGGCGCUAAUACCGCAUACGUCCUGAGGGAGAAAGUGGGGGAUCUUCGGACCUCACGCUAUCAGAUGAGCCUAGGUCGGAUUAGCUAGCUGGUGGGGUAAAGGCCUACCAAGGCGACGAUCCGUAACUGGUCUGAGAGGAUGAUCAGUCACACUGGAACUGAGACACGGUCCAGACUCCUAAGGGAGGCAGCAGGGGGGAAUAUUGGACAAUGGGCGGAAGCCUGAUCCAGCCAUGGCGCGUGUGUGAAGGAGGUCUUCGGAUUGUAAAGCACUUUAAGUUGGGAGGAAGGGCAGUAAGUUAAUACCUUGCUGUUUUGACGUUACCAACAGAAUAAGCACCGGCUAACUUCGUG